rnacentral:snRNA from 1 species
AUACUUACCUGGCAGGGGAGGUACUGUGAUCAUGAAGGUGGUUUUCCCAGGGUGAGGCUUAUCCAUUGCACCCUGGAUGUGCUGACCCCUGUAAUUUCCCCAAAUGGAAACUCAACUGCAUAAUUCGUGGUAGUGGGAGACUGCAUUUACGCUCUCCCC